rnacentral:rRNA from 1 species
UACGGAGGAUCCAAGCGUUAUCCGGAAUCAUUGGGUUUAAAGGGUCCGUAGGCGGUCUGGUAAGUCAGUGGUGAAAGCCCAUCGCUCAACGGUGGAACGGCCAUUGAUACUGCCAGACUUGAAUUACUAGGAAGUAACUAGAAUAUGUAGUGUAGCGGUGAAAUGCUUAGAUAUUACAUGGAAUACCAAUUGCGAAGGCAGGUUACUACUAGUUGAUUGACGCUGAUGGACGAAAGCGUGGGUAGCGAAC